rnacentral:lncRNA from 1 species
GAGAGUUAAGUAUGAAUCAUUCAAAACUCAAGAACAAAGUAUUCGAUGUGUAUAAGGUUUGAUUUUGUCCCUCAACUCAAUGUCUCUGUUCGCCACUGGUUUCACCGGCUGCUUUCGGGCGUUGUUUGUCGGGAUUUCCUUUGUUUUGAUGCUAUUCGAAACCGUGACUUUCAUGAUCGGGUUCAUAUUGUUGCCUUUGGUCAUAAUUCUGGUUUUGCUUUUCUACUUUGUGGGUAUGCUUUUGAAUUUGUCUGAAUUUGGUCGGGCCAUCCUCUGGCCUGCCUCUGUUGCCAUUGAGGUUGCUCCAGGUAAAGGGAAAUUAUUUUCUCCAAGUUUCUUCUUUUUACGAAUUUGUAAAAUCUGUAGAUAACCUUUUAUGUUCAUAUUGAUGUUUGAUGAAUGCUUGCUUGCUUGCUAUAUGUUGUUUGGUACCGUAAAUUUAUGCUGUUGAAAUGGAUGAAACUCCCCACCCCAAAUUGUACCAGAGAAAAUUGAAUUAGUUCUUAAAUGUAAUGCAAGAAGCGAAAAUCACUGAAACCAUUUAACAACUCCGAUUCUAGAAUCUCAGUAAGUAAAUAAAAUUGCACCUGCAUUAAUCGAAGAGAAUGGUUUGGAACCUCCAUGUAGAGCACACGAGAUAACUUAUACUUGGUUUGAGAGUAACUCCUGGAAUUACCUAUCAGUUCCUUUAAGGCAAGCUUUGUGCUAGGUCGGUAUUCACAAUUUCAUUUUCGGACUUUAGCAAAUAUAUUUCGCGGUCUGCUUCUAGAUGCAUCUGAGCGUCCAAGCUCUUAUCUGCCUUGUUACGCUAACUAACCUGAGCUCCAAACUCUAGAACAGUCUCAGGGGAACAAGACAAGAUUUAGCUUGAUAGUAUUUGAUGUCUGACGUUAGCUUGGUGGUAGGUCCAAGCUGAAUUUAUCAUGGGGGCUGCUACAUAUACAGCUCAAUGUACAGCCUCAUUACAUGGGGGGAGGGGCCUGCACGUUAAUUGGGUGUGAGCCCCUCCCAUCAUGUGAGGGGAGUGUACACCUAGUUGUAAGACUCAGUGUAUAAGGGGCUUUAUUCAUUUGUCAUUUACAAGGGUUUGUGUUUGGUUUAUUUAAAUGAGAUAGCUUGCCAGGCUAGGCUCGGAAGUCCAAUGAUACCACGUUGGAUGCUUACCAUGUUAGGCUUCUGAUCUAAAUAGAGAUGAAUUGAUACUAGAAUCAUAUUUGACUUGAGCUGUGUCUGUAAUGACAUUUUUCACACUACAGAUUUUUCCUUUUUCUUGUUUCUUCUUUUCCGCUUCUUUCUCCAACAUAGUUAUUACAGUUGUACCUUUUACACCAUUGAAUUUUCCUCCCUUGGCAUGUCAUGAAAUUCUCUGGUUAAUUUUCAUGAUUUCAUUCGUAUGAACACUUGUAACUUUCCAUCACUUGCAAUUUGAUAUGCUCGGAGUGGGGCAGUGUUUUUACUUCACUUUUACAUGUCAUGAGCAGAAAGUUGAUGUACUGUUGCUAUUACGCGCUUUCUUGUUUGGCCAUCGCUAGAUUUUGGCCAGAUGUUCAUCGUUCUAAAGAUGAUUCAUGCGUCCAGUUUGAAUACAGCUGAAUGUAUAUUAUCAUUUUCUUACUAUAGUUGCAUCUGUGACAUUUUUCCACAGCUUUGCCUUUAUGCUUCAACCUUGUCCCUCUGUAAAUUUUGUUUGUGUUCAUCAUAGUUACCGGAAGUAAUUAAAUCUGUAGAAGUUUUUGUUGCCUUAUAAAUUCUCCAACUAUACAUCCAAGUACCUUCACUUGAUAAGUAACAUUGAACAGGAAUGUCGAAAACGAAUGAGUGAACGAUAUAACGACUAAAAUUUCAACUUCUUUUUCUUUUUAGCCUCUAUUUUUGCUCCAUUUUCUAGAAAAUGCAUUUUUCUUUCACUUGUUUUUCAC